rnacentral:lncRNA from 1 species
UCAAAGAUUAUCAACCGGUUCUUGGGAAUUUCAAUGACCAUGAGUAUCCAGUGAAAGCUGUUUACACACAUAUAUAUAUAGUCAGUCCUAUAAUGUAAAAUAAAAUAUACAUGCACUUAAUAACUAUAUAACUCACUCGAAGUUGAAGGGGAAGAGUAUUUUUUGUUUUUCUUUUUGGUUCACAAAGAACCUCAUAAGAUUGGUGCAGACUUCUAUCUCAUGAUCUGCUGUCCACACUGCCUGCAGAGCCUUGAAAACAAUAUAAGGGUCAACGAACCCAAUACUAUUGUCAUUUCUCAUUCUGAGCUCUCUCAUUUGGUGCCUGCAUAUAUACAUACAAAACCUAAGUGUGUAAGUAUUAUAUACAUGUAAUUAAAGAAGUUAGAAGUAUAAUAAAAAGAAAAAAUACUUACAGACAAAAGCAGCUAACAAGAGAUUUGUCAAGAACGUCGAGGUGGCAUAAUUGGUGCACUUCUUCGAACUGCACGUAUAUGAGGUCAUCUCCACGCAAGUAGUGAUGUUGUCUAAUACGAACAGAAAUCCAAUUCUCUCCCCUUUUAGACGCCUCAAUGCACC